AUGUCGUCGACGUUCGCCGGUGUAUCCGCCGUGGCCGGCGGCAAGCUGAGCCCUUCCACAGCAUCGUCCUUCCUCACCAGCACGGACUGGGGGUACCACCUGCUUGUGGUCCAAGACUACUCGCGCACCAAGCAAGCCACUCCCACCGGCGAGUGGAUCAGCUCUCGUCCUUUCAUGGUAGGAGGCCAUAAAUGGUGCAUCGACUACUUUCCUAACGGCUACACGGAGAGUUGUGCCAACUUCAUUUCUCUAUUUGUUAACCUUCUCGAUGACGACGCUGAAGAGCCUGUGAAGGGGAAGUUCAAUGUCAGUUUCAUCGACGAGGCGGAGAAGCACAAGCCAAUGUACAUUUCGGCUGAAGCAUUCAAUUUCCACUCUGAGUCCAUGCUGGGCUACAACAUGUUCAUGGAAAAAGAUGUCCUUGAACAAUCAUCGCAUCUAAUGAAUGAUUGUUUCACCAUCCGGUGUGACAUCAUGUUGUUCAGCUCCAAGGAUGCCGGUGGCGAUAAGGUGCUCAUGUCUGAAAUAGACCAACAUUUGAACAAUCUCCUUCAAACUAAGGUGGGUGCUGAUGUGACAUUCGAGGUCAGCGGCGAGAUGUUCGCUGCGCACCGAUGUGUGCUUGCAGCCCGGUCUAAAGUCUUCAUGGCACAACUCUUUGGCCCCAUGAAGGAGGGCACUACUACAUCCUGUGUCAUACAGAUCAAAGACAUGGAAGCAAAAGUGUUCAGGGCUCUGCUUAGCUUCAUCUACACAGACUCACUCCCUAAGAUGGAGGAUGACAAGAUGGAGGAAGACGAAGCAGCUGCUGUGGAAGAAGGACAAGAAGAGGAAGCAACAGAGGAUGAAAUGUCAGAAGUUGCGGAACAAGGACAAAGAGAGAAACCACCAGAGACUGUGCAAUGGCUGCAAGGCUUGCUUGUAGCCGCAGACAGAUAUGAUCUCCAACGGCUCAGGUUUAUCUGUGAAAGGCAGUUGUCCUUGCGCAUAGGUGUGAGCUCGGUGGCGUCUACUCUUGCUCUAGCUGAGCAGCACCACUGCCGCCCAUUGAAGGCGGCAUGCUUGAAGUUUAUCCAAGCCCAAUCUCCGUCGUGUUUGCAAAUAGUAAUGGCGACCGAUGGCUGGGAGCACUUAAUUACAACCUAUCCCUUUGUUUUGAACGAGCUCUUUGCCAUGUUUGCUUUGAACCAGAAGUAA
rnacentral:rRNA from 1 species